GUCCACCUUCCUACCACCCUGAACGCGUCCAAUCCUGUCUGACCUCGGAAGCUAAGCAGGGUCGGGCCUGGUUAAUACUUGGAUGGGAGACCACCUGGGAAUACCGGGUGCUGUUGGCU
rnacentral:rRNA from 1 species